CAGCAAUCCUAGUUCCACUGGAUAUUUUUGAGUGAUUAAAUGUAUUACUCACUUCUUUUUGUAUUCAUUUUUUUUAAUAGAAAAUGCAUCAGAUGCAGAUUUAUGGCUCCUGAACAGUUGCACUGUAAAAAAACCCAGCUGAAGACCACUUUAGAAGCUCAAUUAAAAAAGCUCAAGAGGAGAACAAGAAAAUAGUACUGGCUGGAUGUGUUCCUCAAGCCCAGCCUCGUCAGGACUACCUUAAAGGACUGAGUAUCAUUGGGGUAAGCUCGUACCUGGUGCAAAAAAAGAAAAUCUUACAUUGUUAAAACCUAUAAUAGCUUCACAUUUUAUUUUCUAUUUGUAGGUUAUUUAUAAGCUGUUACACUUAUGGCUGUCCUAAACAUAUGUUCCUUAUUGUCCCUGAAACUCAUUUCUGUGUAACGUUUUCAGCAUAGCAUAAAAACGUGUGUUAGUUUCUCUCAUUAAGAAACAGCAACACAAGAAAAAGCCAGGGCCGG
rnacentral:lncRNA from 13 species